rnacentral:rRNA from 1 species
GGAAUGGGUGAGUAACACGUGCUUAAUCUACUUUAGAUUGGAAUACCCAUUGGAAACAAUGGCUAAUGCCGGAUACGCAUGGAACCGCAUGGUUCCGUUGUGAAAGGCGCUGUAAGGCGCCACUAAAAGAUGAGGGUGCGGAACAUUAGUUAGUUGGUGAGGUAAUGGCCCACCAAGACUAUGAUGUUUAGCCGGGUCGAGAGACUGAACGGCCACAUUGGGACUGAGAUACGGCCCAAACUCCUACGGGAGGCAGCAGUU